rnacentral:hammerhead_ribozyme from 1 species
AUCCGGCCGACGAGUCCCAAAUAGGACGAAAUCCACGUCCUGGAU